GAUGAAGAACGUAGCGAAAUGCGAUAAGUAAUGUGAAUUGCAGAAUUCAGUGAAUCAUCGAAUCUUUGAACGCACAUUGCGCCCGCUAGUAUUCUGGCGGGCAUGCCUGUCCGAGCGUCAUUUCAACCAUCAAGCCCCGGGCUUGUGUUGGGGACCUGCGUCCGACGCAGGCCCUGAAAACCAGUGGCGGGCUCGCUGUCCACACCGAGCGUAGUAACUAACCUCGCUAUGGAGUGGCGCGGGCGCCUGCCGUAAAACCCCCAAUUUCACAAGGUUGACCUCGGAUCAGGUAGGAAUACCCGCUGAACUUAAGCAUAUCAAUAAGCGGAGGA
rnacentral:misc_RNA from 1 species